rnacentral:rRNA from 1 species
GCAUAUCAAUAAGCGGAGGAAAAGAAACCAACCGGGAUUGCCUUAGUAACGGCGGGUGAAGCGGCAAAAGCUCAAAUUUGAAAUCUGGUACCUUCGGUGCCCGAGUUGUAAUUUGGAGAGGGCAACUUUGGGGCCGUUCCUUGUCUAUGUUCCUUGGAACAGGACGUCAUAGAGGGUGAGAAUCCCGUGUGGCGAGGAGUGCGGUUCUUUGUAAAGUGCCUUCAAAGAGUCGAGUUGUUUGGGAAUGCAGCUCUAAGUGGGUGGUAAAUUCCAUCUAAAGCUAAAUAUUGGCGAGAGACCGAUAGCGAACAAGUACAGUGAUGGAAAGAUGAAAAGAACUUUGAAAAGAGAGUGAAAAAGUACGUGAAAUUGUUGAAAGGGAAGGGCAUUUGAUCAGACAUGGUGUUUUGUGCCCUCUGCUCCUUGUGGGUAGGGGAAUCUCGCAUUUCACUGGGCCAGCAUCAGUAUUGGUGGCAGGAUAAAUCCAUAGGAAUGUAGCUUGCCUCGGUAAGUAUUAUAGCCUGUGGGAAUACUGCCAGCUGGGACUGAGGACUGCGACGUAAGUCAAGGAUGCUGGCAUAAUGGUUAUAUGCCGCCCGUCUUGAAACACGGACC